GCCAAUGGGAUUGGGGUGCUAACCAACAAGAAGCUCUCUUAAAGUUAAAAAUGGUAGUAAAUCAAGUGUAGUCCCUGGGGGCGUUAAUGCCAGAUGUGAGUUAUGAAUUGGAUGUAAGCUCAUACCCAAGAGGGUUUGGCUGGGACUUAUGAUAGUGGCUAAAUGGGAAAUCUGGUUAUUUGCAUAAAUUCAAUGAGAAUGUGUUCUUACAAUAGGACACCACUGGAAACACUGGUUAUAUUACCCAGGCUGUGGCUGAAAUGUCCUAUUUGAGAGAGACCUGCAAAGGCUCAGAUGACCAGAUGGCUUUAAGGAACUAAGGUGGAUUAUUACUUUUUUUAUGGAGCCAAUGAAGCCCCUUGGGAAAAAUCUCACCCUGGUACCUUGCUCACAGAGUUCCGAGGAGCAUUAUCAGGCUGGAUCCUGCAUUCUUCUGGUUUCCUUGUAUAUCUGGCUAAUUUUUGACCACAACAGGCCUGACUUUGAAAGCCCACUGGCUGGACCACCUCCUGAAAUGGGGCCACUGUUUAACUGAACAGACCUAAUGGACCUUGUUAUGAAAUGUGGAAUAAGAUGCUAAGACUAUACACGAGAGCACCAACAUAAUGGCUCCACGAAGGAUGGGAGCUCAGCUUCGUACUGGAGAACAUUUGCAAUGGGCUGCAAGGCAGUUUCAUUCCUCAAAUCCCCAUCUACGCCCCCUUUCAGCAGGAAGUAGUUAGAGUGAUCAUCGCCCCUCUCCCUCAAGAAUGAGGAACGGUGAAAAGCCGGGGGUGGUACUGUUCGUCUCCUGUUGGUGUUCCAUUACCACUGUGGCAUAGGGAUGCAAGUCCCUCCCUCUGGCUCUAGGGUCAUCACAGAAAAAUGCCCAGCUAGAAGGACCUGUGAGGCCACAGGAAUCCUUUCUUCCCGACAGGUGGCCUAGUCAGAACACUUUAACUCCCUGCACACACCCAGACGCUGCUGCAGCUGAACAGUCCUUGGGAAAUCUGACUUAUGGCCAGCAGGAGGACACAACUGGAAAUAUGGCUUUGACUGGAAUUUAAUAUUUGCAAGAGACAUACAUAGAUUCAUUUAUGACCAGACAGCUUUAAAAAAAAAAAACUAAGAUUGACUUUAUGGAGCAAGUGAAGCCCC